rnacentral:rRNA from 1 species
UACGGGGGGGGGCAAGCGUUGUUCGGAAUUACUGGGCGUAAAGCGUGCGCAGGCGGUUCGCUAAGACAGAUGUGAAAUCCCCGGGCUUAACCUGGGAACUGCAUUUGUGACUGCAUAGCUAGAGUACGGUAGAGGGGGAUGGAAUUCCGCGUGUAGCAGUGAAAUGCGUAGAUAUGACGGAGGAACACCGAUGGCGAAGGCAAUCCCCUGGACCUGUACUGACGCUCAUGCACGAAAGCGUGGGGAGCAAACAGG